UUCCACAGUAGCUCAGUGGUAGAGCUAUCGGCUGUUAACCGAUCGGUCGUAGGUUCGAGUCCUACCUGUGGAGCCAU
rnacentral:tRNA from 1 species